AAUCUUCCACAAUGGGCGAAAGCCUGCUGGAGCAACGCCGCGGGAGUGAAGAAGGUUUUCGGAUCGUAAAACUCUGUUGUAAGUGAAGAACAAGUAGAGUAGUAACUGGCUGUACCUUGACGGUACCUUAUUAGCAAGCCACGGCUAACUACGCGCCAGCAGCCGCGGUAAUACGUAGGUGGCAAGCGUUGUCCGGAAUUAUUGGGCGUAAAGCGCACGCAGGCGGUCAUUUAAGUCUGAUGUGAAAGCCCACGGCUCAACCGUGGAGGGUCAUUGGAAACUGGGGGACUUGAGUGCAGAAGAGGAAAGUGGAAUUCCGAGCGUAGCGGUGAAAUGCGUAGAGAUUUGGAGGAACACCAGUGGCGAAGGCGACUUUCUGGUCUGUAACUGACGCUGAGGCGCGAAAGCGUGGGGAGCAAACAGG
rnacentral:rRNA from 1 species